GAUGAACGCUGGCGGCGUGCCUAAUACAUGCAAGUCGAGCGAAUGGAUUAAGAGCUUGCUCUUAUGAAGUUAGCGCCGGACGGGUGAGUAACACGUGGGUAACCUGCCCAUAAGACUGGGAUAACUCCGGGAAACCGGGGCCAAUACCGGAUAACAUUUUGAACCGCAUGGUUCGAAAUUGAAAGGCGGCUUCGGCUGUCACUUAUGGAUGGACCCGCGUCGCAUUAGCUAGUUGGUGAGGUAACGGCUCACCAAGGCAACGAUGCGUAGCCGACCUGAGAGGGGGAUCGGCCACACUGGGACGGAGACACGGCCCAGACUCCUACGGGAGGCAGCAGUAGGGAAUCUUCCGCAAUGGACGAAAGUCUGACGGAGCAACGCCGCGUGAGUGAUGAAGGCUUUCGGGUCGUAAAACUCUGUUGUUAGGGAAGAACAAGUGCUAGUUGAAUAAGCUGGCACCUUGACGGUACCUAACCAGAAAGCCACGGCUAACUACGUGCCAGCAGCCGCGGUAA
rnacentral:rRNA from 1 species